rnacentral:rRNA from 1 species
AGCGUUCGGGAACCACCUGAUCCCAUGCCGAACUCAGCAGUGAAACCGCUCAGCGCCGAUGGUAGUGUGGGGUCUCCCCAUGCGAGAGUAGGUCAUCGUCAGGC